UACGUAGGGUGCAAGCGUUGUCCGGAAUUACUGGGCGUAAAGGGUUCGUAGGUGGCUUGUUAAGUCAGACGUGAAAUCCCUCGGCUCAACCGGGGAACUGCGUCUGAGACUGAUGAGCUCGAGUGCAGGAGAGGAACGCGGAAUUCCAGGUGUAGCGGUGAAAUGCGUAGAUAUCUGGAGGAACACCGGUGGCGAAGGCGGCGUUCUGGACUGCAACUGACACUGAGGAACGAAAGCCAGGGGAGCAAACGGG
rnacentral:rRNA from 1 species